rnacentral:rRNA from 1 species
CCUACGGGUGACAGCAGUAGGGAAUCUUCCACAAUGGACGAAAGUCUGAUGGAGCAACGCCGCGUGAGUGAAGAAGGGUUUCGGCUCGUAAAGCUCUGUUGGCAGUGAAGAAAGAUAGAGGUAGUAACUGGCCCUUAUUUGACGGUAAUUACUUAGAAAGUCACGGCUAACUACAUGCCCGCAGCCGCGGUAAUACGUAGGUGGCAAGCGUUGUCCGGAUUUAUUGGGCGUAAAGCGAGUGCAGGCGGUUCGAUAAGUCUGAUGUGAAAGCCUUCGGCUCAACCGGCGAAUUGCAUCAGAAACUGGUGGACUUGAGUGCAGAAGAGGAGAGUGGAACUCGAGGUGUAGCGGUGGAAUGCGUAGAUAUAUGGAAGAACACCGGUGGCGAAGGCGGCUCUCUGGUCUGCAACUGACGCUGAGGCUCGAAAGCAUGGGUAGCGAACAGGAUUAGAUACCCGGGUAGUC